CAUUCCCUUCAAAUGCUAUUGAAGUUAGAAACGUGUAUAACAAUGUGGUAUGUAACUUUAGAGACGGUCCCUUAAUUUCUGCAUAUCUCCGAAUAUCGAACCUCCAACGUCACACCGACUUUAUUCCAGUGACCCAGGCUUCUUUUACUUUGAAUUACACUGUAUAUUCCAGCGAAUUUCACAUUUGAAGUAUAUGGAAGUGUUAAACUUAAAGUUGCUGCUGAAAACAUCUCAGUUAAAUGAAGUAUACCACAAUGACUUACAACAAAAGUAUCUCACUUACUAUCCUGUAACACUUUGGAAGACUUUUGAAAGGAUUUUAUAAUGCUGGGAGAGAACGGACCGGUCCGGAAGACAGAGCAGGUGAUCACAGGGUGAGCUCCAUGUCUGAGUGGCUGAAAUCUGACAUUUUCAUCGUAUUUAUGGUGGUCCUGUCACUCACAGUUAUUUCCAUCUUUGCGGUCUGCUGUCUUAUGAGGCGCCGUCACACACACAAAACAAGACAGUACUGACGCACACACCUACACACACUUACACAUACACAUGAACAAACAUGCCCACAUGCACUUGAUUGCCACUUGAUUUCCUCUCUUGUUCUCUCUGUCAGGAAAUUGGCAGAAAUCGAGAUCGUGCCUUUUGCAGGUUCAGGUAGAAACCAUAAACCCAGAUUCACCCUGAGGAUCAUCACAGAGCAGAAACAUGCCUCAGAGCUUGUUCAGAUGUUAACGAGCCAAAUCCGCUCCACUGCAGGUCCUGCAGGCUCGACUGGCCUUGGUGUCUCUGCUGUAACUGCUGAGGUUGCCUCUACUUCUCAAUAUCAACUGGAGAUGUACGCUUUAUCUCCCUGUCACACAACAACAGACGCCGCACUCCCUAUUGGAGAGCAGGUCACAUCACUGGACUUGCAACCUACAAAUCCUACUGAACACUUGGUGACCGCUACAGUUGAGCCAAUCAGGAUUACUGAUAAUGAAGAAAACGAUUCUAGUGAUAGUGAAACACUGCAGUUCUACCCUGCUUUAUCAUAAGACUACAUACAAGACAAGUUUACUGAGUUAAUAAUGAACAUAAAUGUCUUUCUUUGCUUUAUAUAUGCUGUGUAGGUCAUGCUGUUCUGCUACGUGUUGUUUUUCAGCGAGUCAGGUGUAUUCCUGUUUACUAACCACUUCUUAAAUAGUAGUCUGCUCGUACGUGUGCUUGGUUUCCAAAUUCAUAUGAACAAAGCAAUGUUAAUUCACUAAAAGCAUCUGUUGCUAACUAGUCUACAAUUUUACCA